GAUGAACGCUGGCGGCGUGCCUAAUACAUGCAAGUCGAGCGAACAGACGAGGAGCUUGCUCCUUUGACGUUAGCGGCGGACGGGUGAGUAACACGUAGGUAACCUACCUAUAAGACUGGGAUAACUUCGGGAAACCGGAGCUAAUACCGGAUAAUAUUUCGAACCGCAUGGUUCGAUAGUGAAAGAUGGCUUUGCUAUCACUUAUAGAUGGACCUGCGCCGUAUUAGCUAGUUGGUAAGGUAACGGCUUACCAAGGCAACGAUACGUAGCCGACCUGAGAGGGUGAUCGGCCACACGGGAACUGAGACACGGUCCAGACUCCUACGGGAGGCAGCAGUAGGGAAUAUUCCGCAAUGGGCGAAAGCCUGACGGAGCAACGCCGCGUGAGUGAUGAAGGUCUUCGGAUCGUAAAACUCUGUUAUUAGGGAAGAACAAACGUGUAAGUAACUGUGCACGUCUUGACGGUACCUAAUCAGAAAGCCACGGCUAACUACGUG
rnacentral:rRNA from 1 species